GAGAGAGAGAGAGAGAGAAGGACAAAAAAGGCACUGUAUGUAAGAAAGAAGCACAGACAACAGUUUUGAUAAUCCCUCACGUGACAUAGUGGAUGCAGAUGUAAAGAUAUAUACAUGAACUUGCAUAAGAUACCAUUACACCACAAACUUUUUAUAAUAACACAAUUAUAAUUAUAGGACAAAGCAUAUAAGAGUGAAGCUGAAAACACUCUCACUGGGCCCUAAU
rnacentral:misc_RNA from 1 species